rnacentral:lncRNA from 1 species
AUUUAGAGAGCCCAACUUGAAGAAUAAAUUACAAAACAGAGAGAGAGCAAGCUUUUGUUUCAAAAUCUGAAGUAAUCAACCACAGAAACAGAAAAAGGGAAAGAGACAAUGAGACCCUCUUAAGCUCUGGCCACUGCACUAAAUCUCAUUACUCAAAUCACCUCAUCCUAUCUUUAGUGUGAUCCUGGGGGGCAGGUGUCAGUGGUUCUCUGAAAUACCCCAUCUCUACCUUUUGGAAACUCUAGGGAUACGUCUAGGAACCUUCAGAAUAAUGGUCACAGCAAAGUAAAAGGCAUCGCUCAUUGUUCUCCCCAGGGCGAGCCCCAAAUGACUUCGUCUUGUUCUAUAUUCCACAUUAUAGGGAAUGACAUCAUUAAGCUAGAAUGUGAUUUACGCAGGAUGAAAGGAAAUCUUGUCAGAGAUAAAGUAGAUGGCGGUUCUGUCGCAAUAAAGGUCUCAUCUUUCAUUGUAAAGACUCCACAUUCUUCCCAAAGCAUCAGGGAAAUGCACACAAUAAUAAAGGACAAAAAGACAACGAGAACAAGAAUUCAUGGGAUACUCGCCGUGCAAGAGAAACAAGUACGUCUUUGGAGCCAGUUUUCAAUAGCCCUCGCAGAGCAUGCUGAUGCAUCCCAAACCUCCCUGGUGUAUUAUUUAUACGUAAUGUCUUACAGUUUUGUUUGCUUUUUGGACCUGGGGAAGUAGGACACAGUGAUAGAAAAUGCAUGGUUAUUAAAUCUGACUUCUUCUAUCCGUACUUCCGGAAAAUGACUGAACCUCAGGCACCCAUUUUUUUUAACUGACAUUGGAGAUGCUAAAACGAAUGGGAGAGUAGGACCAAAAAAGUGAAAUGAGUUUAGGAAUAUAAAAGUCCAGCAGAACACAUGGCAUGAAAUAAGUUAUUACUUAUUUUAUGCUGCAUUAUUUGGAAUUUGGUCUUAGCAAAGACAUAGUCUUAAGAAACACAUGUGAUAACUAAAUAAUCUUUUUAAAAGACAAUGUGCCAAUUCACACUACACUUUGGAUGCACUGGCUACUAAAACCGUAGCUUUAAUUUUUUACAAAAUGAGAUGGAUUUGUGUGGAAAUACUGUCAGUAGCAGAAGCCAUCUCAACAAUAAAUAAUUUCUUGUGCUACGGAUGAUCUAGCUCAGUUUAGUCCAAAUUCUAACAAUUUUUUCAUUACUUUUUUUUCCCUCAUGUAUGCUUUAAUGGAAAACUAGUAGCUGGAGAAUAUGACCAAAGCAAUCAGUGCAGGUAUAAAUGUUCUACAGGGACACACUCUUUAUUUGAAGAAAUUAAAUCUGGUCAAGGAUAAUCAUAUGACAUCCACAUGACUUCACUCCAAAAUGCAUAAGAGUUCUGUACCGAAACGUUAAAGCAACAUGGUAACACACCCUCUAAAGAACAAGGGAGAACAGAAAGACAAUAGCCUUUAGGUUUAGUGAGAAGAACAGCUAACAUGACUUAAUGUCAAUUUCUUGGCUAAGUUUGUUUUUUGAAGUUUGUUUUUUUUUUUUCUUUGUCAUUGGUUGCAAGCUGAAUUAUCUCUAAUGCUGAUGACUUCCAAAUAUAUUGUUUCAAUCUAACAACUUUCCUCUCAUUUCCAAACCGUCUUCUUUAAAAUGCCUCUAGGGUGUCACAAAGCAUUGCCAAAAGCUGAACUGGAUACCUUUUCCCAGGAGCGUCUUUGAUUUCUAUUUCAUUUAAAGUUUCCACCAAAAUAAUUAAGUAAAUAAAGUUUCCACCAAACCAUACCCUGUCACUGACCCGUUUUUUCCUUCUCACCAACCAUCCAUAUCCAAUUACUGCUCAAACUCAGUUGAUUGCUCUUCCUGAAUAUUCUCACGUGGAUCCACUUCCCUCCCAUCCAAAACCACUACUGUUAUAAUCGUCUGACCCCCCCCCCCACUUCUCCCACCUCCACUGAUGGGACAGUCUCUAAGUGACUUCUCAGUUUGCUCCAUUGUUCCCUUCUGAGCCAGUGAUCAUUCUAGGGAGGAACAAAUCUGUCCAUGUCAUCUCCUCUUUAAAUCUUUCCCAGAUGUUCAAAACUUCCACUUACUACUUUUUAAACUUCUCAACAUGGGUACACAAUCUUGCCUCCGACUAACCCUUUCAGUCUCAUCCUCUCUCCCACCAUCACAGCCAUCUCCUCAACAGAUUAUCAUAUUCCAGCCUUUUCACACACUGUUCUUUCUUCCUGAAGUCCUCUUUGCAACCCUCAAGUCACUGUUUACUAUUAACAUUCAUGUGUCAAUUUGGAGAUGAUUUUAUUUAGAGAUUAUUUUAUUACUAUUAUAGUUGAUUUACAAGUUUGUGCCAAUUCCCAAUUUCUGCUAUACGGCAACGUGACUCAGUCAAACAUAUACAUAUAUACGUUCUUUUUUAAUAUUAUUUUCCAUCAUGGCCUGUCCCAGGUGAUUGGAUAUAGUUCACUGUGCUGUACAGUAGGACCUCAUUGCCAAUCCAUUCUAAAUGUAAUAGGUUGCAUCUCCUAACCCCAAACUCCCAGUCCCUCCUACUCCCUCCCCCUUUGGCAACCACAAGUCUGUUUAGAGAUUACUUUCUGAUGGAUGCUUCCUCUGGUGUCACCUACCCUCAAAUUCCCUGCUGUGUAUCCCCUUCUUGUGUUGGGCAGUUUCAAAGAAAUCAUGUAUUUCUCACAACAUCGACUCAUAAUUUUCUAAGGUUUAGUUGUGUAUUUCUACUAGAGCACAAUUCUGUAAAGACAAUGGAAUGCCCUUUAUGGUUAUUUCACGGACUGGUACAUUGUCUGGAGUACAAAAUAUCCUCAAUCCAUUAAAUGUACAGAUAUACACUCUGAAAUCUAGUCUCCUUUGCUAAGAAAAUUGAAGUGCUCAGAAAAGAAUGUCUACCUUCUCCAGCUCCAUCUCUAAAAUCCUCCAUGAAUCUCUGCCCUUAUACUCAUCUCAGUUGAGCACUAGGACACUCACGCAAGAACAUGUCUGUGUUUUCUUUCUUUCUCUUCUAUUUAUUUGAUCUGCUUUGGAUCAUUCUCAAGGCAAAUAAAUGUUAUUUCUCUCACCUC